GAUCCGGAAGUGGCGCUUCAGGGAGAGGGUUGCUGCGGGUGACGGGCUGCAACGCCAGCGUUCCCGAGGUGGGGGUCCGGCCUAGGUGGGGAAGCACGGAGGAUCACAGGUCCAAAGCGGAGGAACAAAACGGACCUAGUACUUAAAGCCCUGAAAUAAGAGAAGUUAUUGUUUCUCUUGGGAAAUGGAUGGACUGGGAAGAGGAACUUGGGUUCAGUAGGGAAAGCAGAAGCAAUAGGCCGCAGCAUUUUUUUUUCCUGAAGAAAAUCAGCAGGUCAACAGGAUAGCUAGAAUGGGCUAGAGUUGGGUAUUUCCAUUCCCUUAGGUUACAUCUGUAACAAAACACAUGGCAAAAUGAGGAAGACCAGACAUAAAAAUGUUAAGUGAACUUCCUGUGGUCAUAGCCAAUCAACCCAAGCCUUCUGACUUCAUUGCUCCCUUUUUGAGAAGGAAAAAAAGAAACAGAAAAGGAAAACCAUUAAUUACUACAAUCAAUAGAGCAACUAAGUUUUCCAGAUUCAUACCCAUCAGAUUGACAUUUUUAAUGUCUAUUGUCAAUGAAUAAAAUUAUAGGAACUAGUGUAUUGUUAGUAAGAAUGCCACAGUGGAUAGGAAUUUAGAAAUAUCUAGCAGAGUUGAAGAUACAUAUACCCUGGAACCCAACAAUUCCAUGUAUAAAUAUAUAGCAACUCUUGCAUAUGUGCACACUGAAAUUUAACAGUAUUUUAUAGCAUUGUUUAUAAAGGCUGAGUGUCCGUAUUCAAAUUUCUUGGGAGGUGUUUCAGAUGUCAGGUUUUUUUAGAUUUUGGAAUAUAUAUAUGUAUUAUACUUACGACUUAAGCAUCCCUAAUCUCAAAAUCCAAAAUCCUCCAGUGAACAUUUCCUUUGAACAUCAUGUUGGUGCUCAAACAGUUUCAGAUUUUGGAGCAUUUUGGAUUUUUGGAUUAUGAAUACUCAACAUGUAUUAGUAAAACAGGGGAAACAAUUGAAAUGUCAACAGGAAAAUGGUUAACUAAACUGUGGCAUAUUUAGGCUGGGUACGGUAGCUCAUGCCUGUUAUCCUAGCACUUUAGGAGGCCAAGGCAGGAGGAUCACUUGAGGCCAGGAGUUUGAGACCAGCCUGAGCAAGAGCAAGACCUCAUCUCCACAAAAAAAGAAAACUUAGCUGUCUAUGGUGGCACAAAUCUGUAAUUUCAGCUACUGGGGAGGCUGAGGCAGGAGAAUCGCUUGAGUCCAAGAGUUCAAGGCUGCAGUGAGC